GGAGAUUUAGCUCAGUGGUAGAGCACUUGCCUAGCAAGCACAAGGCCCUGGGUUCGAUCCCCAGCUCCA
rnacentral:tRNA from 1 species